rnacentral:rRNA from 1 species
AGAGGGGGCCAGCGUUGUUCGGAAUUAUUGGGCGUAAAGGGCGCGUAGGCGGCUACACAAGUCACACGUGAAAUCCCUCGGCUCAACCGGGGAAUUGCGUCUGAUACUGUGCGGCUUGAGUCCUGGAGAGGGUAGUGGAAUUCCCAGUGUAGCGGUGAAAUGCGUAGAUACUGGGAGGAACACCGGUGGCGAAGGCGGCUACCUGGACAGUGACUGACGCUGAGGCGCGAAAGCUAGGGGAGCAAACAGGAUUAGAUACCCUGGUAGUCCUAGCUGUAAACGAUGGGCACUUGGUGUUGCGGGUAUCGACCCCUGCAGUGCCGAAGCUAACGCAUUAAGUGCCCCGCCUGGGGAGUACGGUCGCAAGGCUG